UACAAAUAUAUAAAAAUUUAAAAUAUACAGUUUACCAAAAUUAAAUGUAUAUUCGGUUGAAAUUCAUGUUUCGGAGAAAAAAUCAAAAAAUGUGUUUAUAACAAUUUCGUUUCGUAUAUUUUUUUUUGUCCGUGGGAAAAUGAAAAUUUUUUUGUAGUGCAAUCAGAAGUGUAUCAAAAGAGUAAUAAAACGUGUACAAUAACUAUAACAAGAACCAUAACAAGAGCAAGUAAAAAAAAAAAAAAAAUGUUAACAAUAAUAACAGAACAAUAAAGACAAUACACGGAUCACUUAUAAUAAGUUACAAUUACAAUUAUUACUGUUACAAUAUAUUGGCAAGAACAUCUACACUUUUACACACGAAACAAAUACAUAAGUCUCAGCCCCGAGAACUGGCGACUCGCAUAGUAUAUUGCGUCUUUGCUGAUAUCUCUUUGAUGUGAUGGUACCACAGAUCCAAGGGUUUGUUGGAUUAGUCGCAUUCAAAUAAUCAUAAAAAUAAAAUACCUAAAAGAAUAUUAAUAAGAACAGCAAAAACAUUAAGACCCACACCGAUAUGCGUUUUAUGACACUAAUACAAUUCAACUCAAUAUUAGGCAACAUGCAACAACAUACAAACCGUAGGACAGAUUGAGUAAAUAUUAGGAAACUGGUACUGUUAAGUCAAAAU